rnacentral:lncRNA from 1 species
AUGGUGGGAUGCAUUCUUGCUCCUGCUGCCUGGCAGCUCAGCUUGCUUCGGGCUGUGUCCCACCUGUGGGGAGAAGGGGGCAUGGGAUGCAGAUGGCUGCAUUGCCAGCAGUGUCCCAGCAGAGCCUCCAGUAGGAGGCAGCUGCUGGGCAUGAACAGCCUGGCUGAGCUCAAUCCCACUGCUCUGUGCCUCUGGGCGCAGAUCUGCUGGGCCUGCGUGGGCCUGGGCUGGCCUGGGAGGUGGUUUGUCCCCAGGAAAUGCCCCAGGGCAGGAGGAGCGGUGCCCUCGCCAGAGGCAGUCAGGUGCAGACAUGUCAUCGCCCGCUGCUGUGCCCCAUGCUCUGGUGCUUUCUGUGUCAUGCCAUCACUCUCGCUCCCACUGCGUCCUGCACCUAGCAGCAUUCCUGCAUUCUCAGCAGCCCUCUCAGCUGGGCGUGGGCCUUCUUCUCCAGCCCCUUGGGCUUCUGUAUUCUCUCACAGAGACUCAGUCCCUGGCACCCAGAGGAGCUGCUGCCUCCUCAGGAACUGCUCUCCUAAGAGUGGACAGUAUUGUGACCCCUGUGUCACGAUAGCCUCUGGGUGCAGUUGUGUCUGCAUUGCAAAGCUCUGUUUGUCGCCAUGGAGGCCCAGUGUCCCUUACAUAACAGUCCCCCACUGGGUCACCAGCUCACAGCCAGGUGCAGAGGCAGCCACCUGGUUGGGCAACACUAGAGGAUCUAUCAGUCGCGAUGGUCCUGCCCAAUCCAGCUUCCUACAUACUGUAGAGGGAGAUAAGGUCCCUGUAGUACACGUAAAGAGCACGCUGGGAAAAGCAAUUUGGGUCUUUCCCGCUUCUGGAAAGGGCAAACCUGUCUGUGGAACGGUUUUUGGUCAGGGACCUGGAUCCAUUUGGUAGCUGAUGGAGAAAAAUGAGGAUGUUCAAUCUGUACCACAAGAGAAUUUGAUGCGGGGGGAGUGCACUCAGUAAUUCCAUGUAUAUAUAUAUAUAUGUAUGUGUAUAUUUAUAAAUGUGUGUGUGUGUGUUUAAUGCUCCAACAAGAAUAAAAUCGCACACAUGUAUAUACA